AUACGGAGGGUGCAAGCGUUAAUCGGAAUUACUGGGCGUAAAGCGUACGUAGGCGGUUAUUUAAGUCAGAUGUGAAAGCCCCGGGCUUAACUUGGGAACUGCAUUUGAAACUGGGUAACUCGAGUUUAGUAGAGGGGAGUGGAAUUUCAGGUGUAGCGGUGAAAUGCGUAGAGAUCUGAAGGAACACCAGUGGCGAAGGCGACUCCCUGGACUAAAACUGACGCUGAGGUACGAAAGCGUGGGUAGCAAACAGGAUUAGAAACCCCAGUAGUCC
rnacentral:rRNA from 1 species